rnacentral:rRNA from 1 species
AUUGAACGCUGGCGGCAUGCCUUACACAUGCAAGUCGAACGGUAACAGGUCUUCGGAUGCUGACGAGUGGCGAACGGGUGAGUAAUACAUCGGAAUGUGCCUAGUAGUGGGGGAUAACUACUCGAAAGAGUGGCUAAUACCGCGUGAGAUCUACGGAUGAAAGCAGGGGAUCGCAAGACCUUGUGCUACUAGAGCGGCCGAUGGCAGAUUAGGUAGUUGGUGGGAUAAAAGCUUACCAAGCCGACGAUCUGUAGCUGGUCUGAGAGGACGAUCAGCCACACGGGGACUGAGACACGGCCCAGACUCCUACGGGAGGCAGCAGUGGGGAAUUUUGGACAAGGGGCAAAAGCCUGACCCAGCAAGGCCGCGUGCGGGAUGAAGGCCUUCGGGUUGUAAACUGCUUUUGUACGGAACAAAAGGCCCGGGGUUAAUACCCUGGGGUCAUGACGGUACCGAAAGAAUAAGCACCGGCUAACUACGUGCCAGCCGCCGCGGUAA